UUGUAAAUGUCGAGGAACUGGAAUGGCUGGUGUUCCGGGUACAGCAAGUGCCAUUUUUGCGGCUGUUAAAGAUGUUGGAGCUAAUGUCAUCAUGAUUUUCUCAGGCUAGCAGUGAAACAUUCCUGUGUGCUUUGCUGUGCCUGAGAAGGAAGUGAACGCGGUUGCAAAGGCAUUAGAGGCUAGAUUUCGUCAAGCUUUGAGUGCUGGC
rnacentral:lncRNA from 1 species